GUGCUCGCUUCAGCAGCACGUAUACUAAAACUGGAAUGAUACAGAGAUUAGCAUGCCCCUGCGCAAGGAUGACAUGCAAAUCUGUGAAGUGUUCCAGGUUUUU